GGACUACCGGGGUAUCUAAUCCCGUUCGCUCCCCUGGCUUUCGCGCCUCAGCGUCAGAAGAGGGCCAGCACGCCGCUUUCGCCACCGGCGUUCCUUCCGAUAUCAACGCAUUUCACCGCUCCACCGGAAGUUCCGCGUGCCCCUACCUCCCUCAAGACCACCAGUAUCUCAGGCAAUUCUCCGGUUAAGCCGAAGGAUUUCACCCCAGACUUGGUGGCCCGCCUACGCGCCCUUUAAGCCCAGUGAUUCCGAACAACGUUCGCACGGUUCGUCUUACCGCGGCGGCUGGCAC
rnacentral:rRNA from 3 species